ACGGAGGGGGCUAGCGUUGCUCGGAAUUACUGGGCGUAAAGGGCGCGUAGGCGGACUUUUUAGUCAGGCGUGAAAGCCCCGGGCUCAACCCGGGAACUGCGUUUGAUACUGGAAGUCUAGAGUUCUGGAGAGGGUGGUGGAAUUCCCAGUGUAGAGGUGAAAUUCGUAGAUAUUGGGAAGAACACCGGUGGCGAAGGCGGCCACCUGGCCAGACACUGACGCUAAGGCGCGAAAGCGUGGGGAGCAAACAGG
rnacentral:rRNA from 1 species